rnacentral:misc_RNA from 1 species
AACGCACAUUGCGCCCUUUGGUAUUCCGAAGGGCAUGCCUGUUCGAGCGUCAUUAUCACCCCUCAAGCCCCGUGCUUGGCGUUGGACGGCCGGUCGAGCGAUCGACCCCUCCGAAAGACAAUGACGGCGGCCUGUGGUUCCCCCGGUACACUGAGCUUUUUCACGGAGCACGUAUCGGACUAAGGGCGCCCGGGACCCGGUCUUCUCCUCUCACCAGGAAACUUCUAAGGUUGACCUCGGAUCAGGUAGGAAUACGCGCUGAACUUAA